rnacentral:rRNA from 1 species
GAUGAGCGCUGGCGGCGUGCUUAACACAUGCAAGUCGAACGGUGAAGGCGUAUCUUUCUCUGCUGGAUCAGUGGCGAACGGGUGAGUAACACGUGAGCAAUCUGCCCCUGACUCUGGGAUAAGCUCUGGAAACGGCGUCUAAUACUGGAUACGAGCUUCUAAUGCAUCUUCAGCAGCUGUAAAGUAUUUCGGUCAGGGAUGGGCUCGCUGCCUAUCAGCUUGUUUGUGAGGUAUUGGCUCACCAAGGCUUCGACGGGUAGCCGGCCUGAGAGGGUUACCGGCCAAAAUGGGACUGAGAGACGGACCAGAAUCCUACGGGAGGCAGCAGUGGGGAAUAUUGCAAAAUGGGAGAAAGCCUGAUGAAGAAAAGGCGGGAGAGGGAAGAAGGGCUUCGGGUUGAAAAACAAUUUUAGCAGGGAAGAAGCGAAAGUGACGGUACCUGCAGAAAAAGCGCCGGCUAACUACGUG